UACAGAGGGUGCAAGCGUUGUUCGGAAUUAUUGGGCGUAAAGCGCGUGUAGGCGGCUUUGCAAGUCGGGUGUGAAAGCCCUCAGCUUAACUGAGGAAGUGCGCCCGAAACUGCAGAGCUUGAGUACCGGAGAGGGUGGCGGAAUUCCCCAAGUAGAGGUGAAAUUCGUAGAUAUGGGGAGGAACACCGGUGGCGAAGGCGGCCACCUGGACGGAUACUGACGCUGAGACGCGAAAGCGUGGGUAGCAAACAGG
rnacentral:rRNA from 1 species